rnacentral:rRNA from 1 species
ACGGCUAUAUUACGUUGAAAACCAGUUCUCGCACAAUCACUGAAGUUAAGCAACGUCAAGCCUGGUUAGUAUCUAGAUAGGUGACCGCUUGGGAAUACCAGGUGCUGUAAG